GGGGGUGGGGUGCUAGGAAAAGGUUAUGCUUACUAGAAAACCAAAAAAACUGGGGGAUGUUAUUAAAAAGAACAUUCUAGAAAAUGAAGAAAAGGCAAACCACACUCAAAAUUAAAACUUGUAACAGUACUGCUAAAAUGCACAACCCCAGAUGCACUGUAGCCUAUGUAAAUAAUGCCCCCUGGGGUUGUGCCCAAAGGGUCCCGUAUAUGGAACACAAUGUGAUUAGCGCCUCAUAGAUUAACAACGCAGUUGUAUUUUUUCAUAAUGCAAAAAGUUAUCAUUGUGAAACAUCAUUUUAGGGUAUGUCGAAUGCCUAAAUAUUGAACCAUUCUGUUUUGGAUCCUAGAGUCUACUAGUUAAUUUCUUACUCUGGAAUGAGUUGAUUAUAAAUUUGUAUUUGGAAUAAGCCCUUUACUAAACAGGUCAAAAACACUGAAAUUAGACCCUUUUUAGUGUUUUGAAAUAUGGAAAUCCAUGUUUCUAUAUAAAUGGAAAGAUAUGUCUCACAGAAAAUAUAUAAAAGUUUAUAUAUGUUCUAAAGGUGACU
rnacentral:lncRNA from 1 species